UUGCCACUUUUGCCAGCUGAAUUGAGGAGCUGGUGGCAAGUGUUAAGAGGAGGUCCCAGCAUCUUUACAAGGAUAGUGACGGAUGCAAAGGACGUGCCCGAAUCCGCCGAAGGAUCAGGGAGGGAAAAAAAUUUUUAAAUUCUGUAGUGGAAAAAUAACACCUUGGUUCCUAAUGCAGAAAAACUGACAUUGGACACCAUUCUAUGUGACAAGAUUGUUUGGCUAUGGCAGCUUACACAUGGUGACUCUGUAGAUCUAAGGACAAAGAGGAAGGCGUUCGACAUUGUGAUGGCAGUAAGGAGACUUGAGGAGUAGACGAGGAUUCUUAUUGCAGAGAUGAACAAGCAUUGGAAGUCUCUUUGCUCCCGUGCAGACACCCUGAAGCAGAUGCCAUCCCAGCUUGUGACAUCUGACAUCAGGUAUACGUGGGGCCUGCUUCAAGACGGUAUCCGAGGUCUACAGAGCUUGACAUUGAAGAACAAGCAAGCAAGCAACAGCCUGACAAAGCAUGCAAAGAAAUGUUAUGUUCAAGUUCUGACUGAAACAGAAAUUAACUUUGAUAGUCAUUCUGAGGAAUACGAUACCAGUAGUGAAUUAAACAUGGCCAGAGUCCUUUUUUCUGCUGUUGUGUGCUGGGGAGGGCCGCUGGGACAGGUUGGUGAGGAAAGCUGGUUCUGUGUUUGGCAUGGAGCUGGAGUUAAGUAGCAGUCUUCUGUCAUGCUCAACAUUGAGGAGGUCUUUUGUCCCCAGGGCAAACCAGCAACUCAAUUUCACAGAAAAUGUUAGGGGAGAAAUGGACUUUUCAGCAUGAGUCUCACCCUGCGCCAACCAUUACAUCACUUUGUCUAUUGUCUAGUAUCCACUAUCCAUUUGACUUUUCUUAUAUAUAUAUAUUUAAGUUUCUGUUGUUCUAUCUAUUUUAACUUAUUUGUGUUGUUUUUGUUAAGCAUUACUAUUAUGCUCACUCUUUUUUCCAUAGUCAUAUGAAAUAGCACAGUUUUGCACUGAUUAAAUCCCUGCACUGUUUACUUUUGCACUACCACCACUGCAAAUCACUCCAUAGCUAACCAUCAUGUAUCACAGGGUCAGUCCCUACCAGGUCUUUGUAUUCACUUGACAUGCUCUUCACUUUUUACAUUUGUGAUUUUUGUUAUGUGUCUGAGCUAUGUGUGUUGUUUUUGUGAUUGUAUAAGCUAAUAAAUGGCUAAAAUGUG